rnacentral:rRNA from 1 species
AGUCCAGACUCCUACGGGAGGCAGCAGUGGGGAAUCUUCCGCAAUGGGCGAAAGCCUGACGGAGCAACGCCGCGUGAUCGAAUGAAGGCCUUCGGGUUGUAAAGAUCUGUUGACAGGGACGAAUAAGCAAUGCGAAUAGUUUUGUGUAUGACGGUACCUGUUUAGAAAGCUCCGGCUAACUACGUGCCAGCAGCCGCGGUAAUACGUAGGGGGCAAGCGUUAUCCGGAUUUACUGGGUGUAAAGGGGGCGCAGACGGCGAUGCAAGCCAGGGGUGAAAGCCCGGGGCCCAACCCCGGGACUGCUCUUGGAACUGGGUGGCUGGAGUGCAGGAGGGGCAGGCGGAAUUCCUGGUGUAGCGGUGAAAUGCGUAGAUAUUAGGAGGAACACCAGUGGCGAAGGCGGCUUACUGGGCUGUAACUGACGUUGAGGCUCGAAAGCGUGGGGAGCAAACAGGAUUAGAUACCCCGGUAC